UACGUAGGUGGCAAGCGUUGUCCGGAAUUAUUGGGCGUAAAGAGCUCGUAGGUGGUUCGAUACGUCGGAUGUGAAAAUCAGGGGCUCGACCCCUGACCUGCAUUCGAUACGGUCGAGCUAGAGUGUGGUAGGGGAGACUGGAAUUCCUGGUGUAGCGGUGGAAUGCGCAGAUAUCAGGAGGAACACCGAUGGCGAAGGCAGGUCUCUGGGCCAUUACUGGCACUGAGGAGCGAAAGCGUGGGGAGCGAACAGG
rnacentral:misc_RNA from 1 species